GUAACUCAGUUGGUAGAGUGUGUGCCUAACAUGCAUAAAGCCUGGGUUUCCAGCCCCAGC
rnacentral:tRNA from 1 species